rnacentral:rRNA from 1 species
ACGGGUGAGUAAUAUAUCGGAACGUACCCAAGAGUGGGGGAUAACGUAGCGAAAGUUACGCUAAUACCGCAUACGAUCUAAGGAUGAAAGCAGGGGAUCGCAAGACCUUGUGCUCCUGGAGCGGCCGAUAUCUGAUUAGCUAGUUGGUGGGGUAAAGGCCCACCAAGGCAACGAUCAGUAGCUGGUCUGAGAGGACGACCAGCCACACUGGAACUGAGACACGGUCCAGACUCCUACGGGAGGCAGCAGUGGGGAAUUUUGGACAAUGGGGGCAACCCUGAUCCAGCAAUGCCGCGUGAGUGAAGAAGGCCUUCGGGUUGUAAAGCUCUUUUGUCAGGGAAGAAAAGGCUGCGGCUAAUAUCCACAGCUGCUGACGGUACCUGAAGAAUAAGCACCGGCUAACUACGUGCCAGCAGCCGCGGUAAUACGUAGGGUGCAAGCGUUAAUCGGAAUUACUGGGCGUAAAGCGUGCGCAGGCGGUUUCGUAAGUCUGUCGUGAAAUCCCCGGGCUUAACCUGGGAAUGGCGAUGGAGACUGCGAGGCUAGAGUUUGGCAGAGGGGGGUAGAAUUCCACGUGUAGCA